CACUGGGAUCCUUAGUACGGCGAGUGAGCGGUAAAAGCUCAAAUUUGAAAUCUGGUACUUUCAGUGCCCGAGUUGUAAUUUGUAGAAUUUGUCUUUGAUUAGGUCCUUGUCUAUGUUCCUUGGAACAGGACGUCAUAGAGGGUGAGAAUCCCGUUUGGCGAGGAUACCUUUUCUCUGUAAGACUUUUUCGAAGAGUCGAGUUGUUUGGGAAUGCAGCUCAAAGUGGGUGGUAAAUUCCAUCUAAAGCUAAAUAUUGGCGAGAGACCGAUAGCGAACAAGUACAGUGAUGGAAAGAUGAAAAGAACUUUGAAAAGAGAGUGAAAAAGUACGUGAAAUUGUUGAAAGGGAAGGGCAUUUGAUCAGACAUGGUGUUUUUUGCAUGCACUCGCCUCUCGUGGGCUUGGGCCUCUCAAAAAUUUCACUGGGCCAACAUCAAUUCUGGCAGCAGGAUAAAUCAUUAAGAAUGUAGCUACUUCGGUAGUGUUAUAGCUUUUUGGAAUACUGUUAGCCGGGAUUGAGGACUGCGCUUCGGCAAGGAUGUUGGCAUAAUGGUUAAAUGCCGCCCGUCUUGAA
rnacentral:rRNA from 1 species